GAUGAACGCUGGCGGCGUGCUUAACACAUGCAAGUCGAACGAACCUUCGGGUUAGUGGCGGACGGGUGAGUAACGCGUGAGAAUCUGCCCUCAGGAGGGGGAUAACGGUUGGAAACGACCGCUAAUACCCCAUAUGCCGAUAGGUGAAAUGAAUUUCGCCUGAGGAUGAGCUCGCGUCUGAUUAGCUUGUUGGUGGGGUAAUGGCUCACCAAGGCUUCGAUCAGUAGCUGGUCUGAGAGGAUGAUCAGCCACACUGGGACUGAGACACGGCCCAGACUCCUACGGGAGGCAGCAGUGGGGAAUUUUCCGCAAUGGGCGAAAGCCUGACGGAGCAACGCCGCGUGAGGGACGAAGGCCUCUGGGCUGUAAACCUCUUUUCUCAAGGAANAANAUAUGACGGUACUUGAGGAAUAAGCCACGGCUAAUUCCGUGCCAGCAGCCGCGGUAAUACGGGAGUGGCAAGCGUUAUCCGGAAUUAUUGGGCGUAAAGCGUCCGCAGGCGGCCUUUCAAGUCUGCUGUUAAAGCGUGGAGCUUAACUCCAUUAUGGCAGUGGAAACUGAUCGGCUUGAGUAUGGUAGGGGCAGAGGGAAUUCCCGGUGUAGCGGUGGAAUGCGUAGAUAUCGGGAAGAACACCAGUGGCGAAGGCGCUCUGCUGGGCCAUUACUGACGCUCAUGGACGAAAGCCAGGGGAGCGAAAGGGAUUUGAUACCCCUGUAGUCCUGGCCGUAAACGAUGAACACUAGGUGUCGGGGGAAUCGACCCCUUCGGUGUCGUAGCUAACGCGUUAAGUGUUCCGCCUGGGGAGUACGCACGCAAGUGUGAAACUCAAAGGAAUUGACGGGGGCCCGCACAAGCGGUGGAGUAUGCGGUUUAAUUCGAUGCAACGCGAAGAACCUUACCAGGGUUUGACAUCCUGAGAACCUCUUAGAAAUUUGAGGGUGCCUUCGGGAAUUCAGUGACAGGUGGUGCAUGGCUGUCGUCAGCUCGUGUCGUGAGAUGUUGGGUUAAGUCCCGCAACGAGCGCAACCCACGUUUUUAGUUGCCAGCAUUUAGUUGGGCACUCUAGAAAGACCGCCGGUGAUAAACCGGAGGAAGGUGUGGAUGACGUCAAGUCAUCAUGCCCCUUACACCCUGGGCUACACACGUACUACAAUGCUACGGACAAAGGGCAGCAAACUCGCGAGAGCUAGCAAAUCCCAUAAACCGUGGCUCAGUUCAGAUCGUAGGCUGCAACUCGCCUACGUGAAGUAGGAAUCGCUAGUAAUCGCAGGUCAGCAUACUGCGGU
rnacentral:rRNA from 1 species